rnacentral:rRNA from 1 species
CACGUAGGCGGAUUCUUAAGUCGGUGGUGAAAGCCUGGAGCUCAACUCCAGAACUGCCUUCGAUACUGAGAGUCUUGAGUCCGGGAGAGGUGAGUGGAACUGCGAGUGUAGAGGUGAAAUUCGUAGAUAUUCGCAAGAACACCAGUGGCGAAGGCGGCUCACUGGCCCGGUACUGACGCUGAGGUGCGAAAGCGUGGGAGCAAACA